AAUAGUGUACAGGUACUCUCUGGGAGGAGGGAGUUUAGGCUGGUAAAGUGUGAGAGCCAGCAACUGUAGAAAGGAGUCAAGGUAAAAGGCAACAGGAUCUAGGUGAAAGCAGACCACAGUUGCUAGACAUAGUGUUCUAGGACCAAAAUCUAGAAUAGAGGGUAGGUCUAGGUUCCCCUACAACACUGUGCUGGGAGGUGGCGCAGACAACUGCCUAGGACAAUUGUCUGAUAGGACUUUGCUACCCUUGAAGGGGAGGACUAUAGUGAGCUGGCUGGAGAGAGAGAGCACCUUGGGUGUGGGGUGGGGCAGGCAGCAGGGCAUGCGAACAAACAGGACUGGGGCACUGGACCUAGAAAGAGACAAUCCCCUGAACAGCCAGGAGGAAGCACCUUUGUGAUUUGCUGUUUCCUCAAAGCCCCAGCUCCUGGAUUCAUGUGACCACAGGAGAAUCUCCACUUACAUUUAUUAGAAAAGAUUGCUAUAUGCCAAAUGAAGAUACCUGAGUGACAGCUAGAGUUGAACUGCGUUCUUGGGAAGCCGAGUAGAAAGACAUCUCAGAGGGAAUCCCAACAAAUAAAGGUCAUACUGUUAAUGCAAGUGAAACAUGCCACGCAGGGGUUAAAAAGAGCUUGGAAACAUCCCACCUUUGGGUAAAUGGGAGAUGAGUUGCAAACAACAGAUUUAUACCCAGAAGUAGGUAACAGAUGUUCCUUGGAUAGCAUAUACAGGAAUUUCUAUAAUGAUUGUGGUGGUCAGAGUUAUAGCUUCAUCAUAGACUAUUUUCUGUUGUAAGAAAUGCUUGCACUUUUACGUCAGUGGGGGGAAAAACUUGAAUAAGGUUUCUCUUAUCACAAGGUGUAGAUAGUGUACAUAGCAUGGUUUUUUGCUUUUUCAU